CCGGGUUCGAUCCCCGGCAACGGCGC
rnacentral:siRNA from 1 species